UAUCGUAGCCGUAUUUCAUGAUGC
rnacentral:siRNA from 1 species